AUGUUCUUGUUGGCAGCAUAAUGCUAAAAUUUGAAUGAUACAGAGAAGAUUAGCGUGACUCUGCACAAGGUGGUUUGGGGAUAGCAAGAAGGCUCCACAGUACAG
ensembl:snRNA U6 U6 spliceosomal RNA